rnacentral:rRNA from 1 species
AACGGCGAGUGAAGCGGCAAGAGCUCAAAUUUGAAAGCUGGCUCCUUCGGAGUCCGCAUUGUAAUUUGCAGAGGAUGCUUUGGGUGCGGCCCCCGUCUAAGUGCCCUGGAACGGGCCGUCAGAGAGGGUGAGAAUCCCGUCUUGGGCGGGGUGUCCGUGCCCGUGUAAAGCUCCUUCGACGAGUCGAGUUGUUUGGGAAUGCAGCUCUAAAUGGGUGGUAAAUUUCAUCUAAAGCUAAAUACUGGCCGGAGACCGAUAGCGCACAAGUAGAGUGAUCGAAAGAUGAAAAGCACUUUGAAAAGAGAGUUAAACAGCACGUGAAAUUGUUGAAAGGGAAGCGCUUGCGACCAGACUCGCCCGCGGGGUUCAGCCGGCAUUCGUGCCGGUGUACUUCCCCGUGGGCGGGCCAGCGUCGGUUUGGGCGGCCGGUCAAAGGCCCCUGGAAUGUAGUACCCUCCGGGGUACCUUAUAGCCAGGGGUGCAAUGCGGCCAGCCUGGACCGAGGAACGCGCUUCGGCACGGACGCUGGCAUAAUGGUCGUAAACGACCCGUCUUGNAACNNCGGACCA